rnacentral:rRNA from 1 species
UUGCGCCUACGGGACGCAGCAGUGAGGAAUAUUGGUCAAUGGGCGUAAGCCUGAACCAGCCAAGUCGCGUGAGGGACGACGGCCCUACGGGUUGUAAACCUCUUUUGCCGGGGGACAAACGGCGGCACGCGUGCCGUCCUGAGGGUACCCGGAGAAAAAGCAUCGGCUAACUCCGUGCCAGCAGCCGCGGUAAUACGGAGGAUGCGAGCGUUAUCCGGAUUUAUUGGGUUUAAAGGGUGCGUAGGCGGGAUGCCAAGUCAGCGGUCAAAUACGGGGGCGCAACCUGCGUCCGCCGUUGAAACUGG